UUCUCAUUAGUUGGAAUUCCGGAAUGGAACUGGAAUGAGCUUCGCGCGAGGUGAGCGAGGGUUUUGUUGAUGUGGAUCCGGGAGCGACGCGAUGGCGCUAGAGGUCUGACGCAGAUCGAAGGGUAUAGGUUUUAGCAGCGAUGGAGUGGACGGCGAGGAGGUCCAGGGAGCCGAGAGCCGGCCACAGUGUGGAGCAUUUCAUCACUCGCAGGCGCUCUUCGCGUUUUUUUUUUUCCUCCCAGGAUUGGAGCAUUAAGUCGUGGGAUCUAGAUACCGAGCACACGCAUUUUCUUUAUUCUCCAGCCAAGAAAACAGACAGGAUCUCAGAAGAGAUGGCGAUACAACUUCGACCGUGGCUGUUCUUUGGAACGUAUUUAAAUGUUGUUUACCUGUUUGCUUCUGGAUGCUAAAUGCUCAUUAAACUUGGCAGCACUCAAGCGGGUUCAAAUCCAGUAUCAGCUCUUUCCUGGCAUUCUAUGUUGUGGUUACUUGUGACUCUUUCAAAGGAUGGCAUGGUGCAGGAUGUGUGCGAACUUCUUCGAGUCUGCAGGCGUUGAAAGUUUGGAUGUUGCUAAGGUUCUGGCUCAAUGUAGUAUACCCUGUCCCGAAGAUCACUUAUCUAUUCCAGGGAGGUCACUCGACCUGUGCUAACUUCAGCUUGGUCUCGUAUGUCACCAUAGCUCGCCACGUAGUUCUCUUCCAGGUACUUCUCUAUUGUUUUGGCCUUGGCAGGAGACUCCACCACGGCCACCCACCUUUCCUGUGAGAGCAGCCCGUUUUCUUGUUCUAUUGUCUCUUUGGAGGAAUCGAUGGCAGUUGCAACUCUUACUUCUUGUUCUAUCGUAAUUGAUGGCAGUUGCAGCCACUCCUUUCCUUCCAAAUCAGUGCUUGAUCAGCCGCUAGCAUCUCAAACCAAAGCUGGAUCUCAAGUGCGUAUCUGGAGGGCAGUCACACGGAACAAGAAAGAAGCAAAAUAUACUCGUUGAUCGUUUGUGAUCUGUUGAAGGAUAAGUCUCUUGGAGUAAAGCUUGAGGAUAGUCGAUCUCAGUCUUGAAGGCCCUCCAAGUAGUAUCACAAUGUCAUGGGAAUGGAGUGGAGUUCAUCAAAGGAACCCUGGACAAGCACCAAACAUUUUCAAAACCGAUAUUACAUUUAGAAGAA